UACAGAGGGUGCGAGCGUUAAUCGGAAUUACUGGGCGUAAAGCGUGCGUAGGCGGUUAUUUAAGUCGGAUGUGAAAGCCCCGGGCUCAACCUGGGAAUUGCAUUCGAGACUGAAUAGCUAGGGUGCGGUAGAGGGAAGCGGAAUUUCCGGUGUAGCGGUGAAAUGCGUAGAUAUCGGAAGGAACAUCAGUGGCGAAAGCGGCUUCCUGGACCAGCACUGACGUUCAGGCACGAAAGCGUGGGGAGCAAACAGG
rnacentral:rRNA from 1 species